CAGUAGCCGCGGUAAUACGUAGGGUGCAAGCGUUAAUCGGAAUUACUGGGCGUAAAGCGUGCGCAGGCGGUUAUAUAAGACAGAUGUGAAAUCCCCGGGCUCAACCUGGGAACUGCAUUUGUGACUGUAUAGCUAGAGUACGGCAGAGGGGGGUGGAAUUCCGCGUGUAGCAGUGAAAUGCGUAGAUAUGCGGAGGAACACCGAUGGCGAAGGCAAUCCCCUGGGCCUGUACUGACGCUCAUGCACGAAAGCGUGGGAGCAAACAGGAUUAGAUACCCCAGUAGUCCCUGUCUCUUAUACC
rnacentral:rRNA from 1 species